UACAGAGGGGGCAAGCGUUGUUCGGAAUUACUGGGCGUAAAGGGCGCGUAGGCGGCCUUCUAAGUCGAAUGUGAAAUCCCUGGGCUAACCCAGGAACUGCGUCCGAUACUGGAAGGCUUGAAUCCGGGAGAGGGAUGCGGAAUUCCAGGUGUAGCGGUGAAAUGCGUAGAUAUCUGGAGGAACACCGGUGGCGAAGGCGGCAUCCUGGACCGGUAUUGACGCUGAGGCGCGAAAGCCAGGGGAGCAAACAGG
rnacentral:rRNA from 1 species